AGGCGGUGCAUGGCUGUCGUCAAUUCGUGUUUGAUAUGUUUGGUUAAGUCCCGGAAACGAAUGUAACCCCCAAUUUAUUUAGUAAAAAUAUAAAUAUAAAAAUAUUAUUUGAAAAUAAAUUGACUGCUUACGAAAUGUAAGAUGAAGGUGAGGACCAUGUCAAGUCGUUAUGCCCUUUAUAGGUUGGGCUAUCCAUAUGAUACAAUGGUAAAUACAAAUAGUGGCUAAAUUUUAACAUUUGGCUAAUCUUAAAAUUUACCUUAGUUCGAAUUGUUAUCUGAAACUUGGUAACAUGCAGUAGGAAUAGCUAGUAAUCGUUUUUCAUAACAGGACGGUGAAUAUGUUUUUGGUUCGAGUACAGACUGCCCGUCAAGCGCCUAGAGUUGAAUUUAGUGGUAUUUAUCGUGAAUUUUUGGGCUGUAUUAUUAUAAUUGUAAUUUAAAAAGUUAAAUUAUAUAAAAUCUAAAAAAAAUUGGUAAAGAUAUUAUUUUUGGCGAUG
rnacentral:rRNA from 1 species